CACUUUCAACAUCAUUUUCAAAAAUUAAAACGUGUAUAUUUGGUUCAUUGGAUCUGUGUGUUACAACAUUCAACUAAGCCAACUAUAUAAAAAUAUUCACCUUCACAUUCAAAUCUAUUAAAGCUUCAGACUUUUUCAUUCACAAUGAGAUAAGUUAGGAAUGAUACAUACAACUUAAAUUUCUCCUUAAUUAGAAACUUGAAAAGCUCACCCAUGACAACCGUUCCUUUGGUAUCUGCUGCCCUAAGAAGGAAAACAAGUUGCAACUUCAUUUCAUUUAGUUUAAUUUAAGUUUAAAUAUGAUUUUACUUCUUACAAUUAUAUACGUUUUUGUUUUGUUUUAGGCUAAUGUAAGUUUUUUUAGUUUUUUCGUUUAAGUUCGGUCGUUACAAAUUUAAAAACAGUUGCUUUUUUGUCACUAAUGUUAACUCAUUUUCACGUGGUGUGAUUAUAUUUGACGACAUAUAACAACUUUAAUUUAUAAAGAUGAAUCUACUUAUUCACCUUUAAGUAGAAUUUCUAGCCAAUAAGCUACUUGAAAAAAAAAAAAACGAAUCCAAUAAAAAAAAGUUACACAAUUUUUUAUUUUUUUCCGCAAAAAGGUUACAGAGAUUAAAACCUCAAAAUUGCUACAGUUACAUGACUAAAAUCUAUUAUAAACCUUUUAUAUGGUUUAACACUUUUUCAAAAGUUGUUAAAUGGACCAAAACUCUUAAAAAUGUUUUUUAUUUUAUUUUAAAAC
rnacentral:lncRNA from 1 species